rnacentral:rRNA from 1 species
CUCAUGUGGUCGUAAGACUAAAGGCGCAGCCACUUUUCGAUUGGUCCGCGGCCUAUCAGCUAGUUGGCGGGGUAAAAGCCCACCAAGGCGACGACGGGUAGCUGGUCUUAGAGGACGACCAGCCACACUGGAACUGAGACACGGUCCAGACACCUACGGGUGGCAGCAGUCGAGAAUCUUUCACAAUGGGGGCAACCCUGAUGGAGCGACGCCGCGUGGAGGAUAAGGUCUUCGGAUUGUAAACUCCUGUCAUGCGAGAACAAAGCCCGCGAGGGUCUGAUAGUAUCGCAAGAGGAAGAGACGGCUAACUCUGUGCCAGCAGCCGCGGUAAUACAGAGGUCUCAAGCGUUGUUCGGAAUCACUGGGCGUAAAGGGUGCGUAGGCUGCGUGGAAAGUCAGGUGUGAAAUACGAAGGCUCAACCUUCGAAAUGCACUUGAUACUACCGAGCUAGAGAUCUAAAGGGGAGCUUGGAAUUCUCGGUGUAGCAGUGAAAUGCGUAGAUAUCGAGAAGAACACUUGUG